UCCACGCAGUAAACGAUGAAUGUUAGUCGUUGGAUAGCAAGUCUAUUCAGUGAUGCAGUUAACACAUUAAACAUUCCGCCUGGGGAGUACGGUCGCAAGAUUAAAACUCAAAGGAAUAGACGGGGACCCGCACAAGUGGUGGAGCAUGUGGUUUAGUUCGAAAAUACACGAAGAACCUUACCUAGCCUUGAUAUCCUUGGAAUCCUAUAGAGAUAUGGGAGUGCUAG
rnacentral:rRNA from 1 species